CCUUUGCCGGCGACCGGCGCACGGGUGCGUAACGCGUAUGCAACCUACCUUUAACAGGGGCAUAACACUGAGAAAUUGGUACUAAUUCCCCAUAACAUUCGAGAAGGCAUCUUCUUGGGUUAAAAACUCCGGUGGUUAAAGAUGGGCAUGCGUUGUAUUAGCUAGUUGGUGAGGUAACGGCUCACCAAGGCAACGAUACAUAGGGGGACUGAGAGGUUAACCCCCCACAUUGGUACUGAGACACGGCCCAG
rnacentral:rRNA from 1 species